rnacentral:rRNA from 1 species
AUUUAGAGGAAGUAAAAGUCGUAACAAGGUUUCCGUAGGUGAACCUGCGGAAGGAUCAUUAUCGAAUCUGAAAGGGGGUUGUUGCUGGCCUUUAGGGGCAUGUGCACGCCUCUGCUCUAUUCUCCUUCAACCACUGUGCACCCUUUGUAGGCUGGAGAAAUCUGGUCUAUGUUUUUUUAUACCCACCUAAACAAGUAUUAGAAUGUCAUACUUUUCAGUACACUCGAGAGGGUGGAAAAAAAAUUAUACAACUUUCAACAACGGAUCUCUUGGCUCUCGCAUCGAUGAAGAACGCAGCGAAAUGCGAUAAGUAAUGUGAAUUGCAGAAUUCAGUGAAUCAUCGAAUCCUUGAACGCACCUUGCGCUCCUUGGUAUUCCGAGGAGCAUGCCUGUUUGAGUGUCAUUAAAUUCUCAACCCCCCGACGGAUUUGUUUCUGACGUGGGGCUUGGAUGUGAGGGUGUGCUGGACUCCAUUAGGAGGUCAGCUCCCUUUGAAUGCAUUAGCGGAUUUUACCAUCGUGGAUAGGCUUCGGACUGAUAAUUAUCUAUGCCGUCGCCGUGAAGCGGUAAUCUGCUCAUAACCGUCUUUGGACAAUUUUUUGACCAUUUGACCUCAAAUCAGGUAGGACUACCCGCUGAACUUAAGCAUAUCAAUAAGCGGAGGAA